rnacentral:rRNA from 1 species
UACGUAUGGUGCAAGCGUUAUCCGGAUUUACUGGGCGUAAAGGGAGCGCAGGCGGCACGGCAAGCCUGAUGUGAAAGCCCGCGGCCCAACCGCGGGACUGCAUUGGGAACUACCGGGCUGGAGUGCCGGAGAGGUAGGCGGAAUUCCUAGUGUAGCGGUGAAAUGCGUAGAUAUUAGGAGGAACACCAGUGGCGAAGGCGGCCUACUGGACGGUGACUGACGCUGAGGCUCGAAAGCGUGGGGAGCAAACAGG